UCCUGGGGACUGUUUUAUCUGAAGCCAGGCACUCCAGACGACAACACAGUCUUUAGUGGUGAAACAGAAAGCGGCUCCAGCAGCAAGCAACACACCCAGCGUUCCAGCGAGCUGUGUGAAGCGCUAACAAGAGGCUGGCCUGGCAUCCUGGCCAGAGGGACUGCAGAGGCAGCCCAGGCCAGGACGGUGCCCUGCACCACCUCCAUCAGAACCCCCAGAGCUUGCUCAACAGCAGACCGACACCCAGGCGGCACCCCAGACCUUCAGAAUCUCCUAAAGAGAUCCUGAGGCCCAGAUUUACCUGAGGACACACAGCAAGCUAGUGAUGGCCAGGACUAACCCUGCUCUGCUGCCUUUAACCAAUAUUUAAAGUCAGGCCAUAUACAUCCCAAUGGCCCCAAGCCCAUGAGUCCUGAAGACACUUUACCGCUUUUCAGCACCUCUUAGGUGAAAUUUCCAACUGCCCAGAAGCUGCCUGGUGGAUGCCUGCUACCCAUCUGAAGUUCACCUAAAGGAUUUACGAGUUUCUGCCCUACAAGUUUGAUGCAAAGUUCAUGCUGAGAGGCACCUUAGGAAACACGAAGCACGGUGUGUGCAUGUGUGUUCUAAAUAGUAGAGUUUCCAGGAGGGCUUCCAUCAGCACCGAGUGUUUACGAGAGACUGCCACAGCGGUGUGGUAGACAUACCUGCUCCUGCUGCCAACACGAUUUGCUAGUGUAAUUAACAUUCAGGCUGAAACUGGAGAAGGCAGUUCAACUCACAAAGACUAUUUUUAGAGACCUCUUAAUGGAAAACUCUGUUCCUUUCAAACCACACAGCUUUCUGUAAUUAGAAGAGAGACUAUUAUUCAAGU
rnacentral:lncRNA from 1 species